rnacentral:rRNA from 1 species
GGCCUUGCGCUAUCAGAUGAGCCUAGGUCGGAUUAGCUAGUUGGUGAGGUAAUGGCUCACCAAGGCGACGAUCCGUAACUGGUCUGAGAGGAUGAUCAGUCACACUGGAACUGAGACACGGUCCAGACUCCUACGGGAGGCAGCAGUGGGGAAUAUUGGACAAUGGGCGAAAGCCUGAUCCAGACAGGCCGCGUGUGUGAAGAAGGUCUUCGGAUUGAAAGCAAUAGAGUGGGAGGAAGGGCAGUUACCUAAUAC